GAGUGUCAUUGAUGCUUUAUUUACAUGCGUCACCAUUGCUUUUACAAACUAGAUUACGGUUUUAAAUGGAAUACACAAGGCAAUACCUACAAACACCAAGGAAAGUUAAGUACUGCAUCUCUAUUUCACUUGGAAAGGAGAAGAUUCCCAAAUCAAACUGGUUUUGGAUUCUUGAGACAAAAGGUGGUAGAGAUAUUUCAUGGUAACAUAUGGACAGACAAAAUCCUCAGUAAGAAUGCAAUAUGAUAGUGUUCGCUUUGAAAGAAAGGAUGAGGUGCUUCAAACCAAAGGAUCAACUGCAUGACUCUCAGGUGUUUGAAUACAGCCAUGCACCACACUGAGUUCUAGUUUGUAUGGGGUAUGAGCAAGAAAUUGAAACAGAUAAGACAGUUUUACAGAUACUGUAUACAGAUUUUUUUUCCAUUCAUGCAACUUUUUUCUUAAAAAAAAAAUGUUAAACAUGUGAAGCCAAAACAUACAUUUUUCUUUAUUAUCAACUUUUUUUUUCUGGUCCUCCUUCACAUCUGUUUACAUUUCCUGUGUACAUAAUGUGCUAGGACAACUAUAUUGAGAGAAGAUUGAUUGCCAGGCAAUGAGAUAAUUUUAGAGAAAUAAGUGACCAGACACACAGCUUUUUUUUUUUUUUAAAGCAGCCACACAAGUAUUUCUGGAGUGUGGCAGAGGCCUCGGAACCAAUCAUUCAUCAAAGUAAAAUACAUACAAAUAAAACUAAACAAAAGGAAAAUAUUUUUAUUCAUUCAAACUGCAUAAAAUGUUACCCACUAAAGAUCUAGGUCAAAUAUAAUACACAGUCACCCCCGGUAUCCGUGGGGGACUGGUUGCAGGACUCCAUCCCCCCGCCUACAUCCGCGAAUGCCCAAGUCCCUUAUAUAAAAAGGCAGUACAACUGGCCCUCCGGACCCGCGGCUGGCUGACUCUGAGGAUGUGGAGCCCGUGUGUACUCGGGGCCAGCUGCACUCUUCUCAGUCCCUGGGCUCUGACAGACGGGAUUUCACAAGGACUGCUCUCUCCCCUUGCUGCACCCUGCCACCCCUGGUCUCCAGGAGAGGCUGGCUGUUUGUACCUCUUUGCCAGCGACUGAAUUUCUACAAAAAAUUUUUGCUUUUCUUAAUUUAAAAAAAUACGUUAUACAUAAUCAACGGUUCCCAAAUACACCAAGAGGAAAUCACAGUUCGGACCUGUCAGGAUUUUGUUUCUGCUUUGAGAGAGAAAAGGUAACUUAUUUUCCUUCACCAGCCCUUGGCAUCAGCACAAAAAAACAUGGGCUUUCCAAGAGAUUCUAAUAUUCCUUAUUCUUUAAGUUGGGGUUCAUGAGAUAGACUCCCUUCCAUCUUUAACAGGUUCAGAAGCUGCCUGAAAUGACACCCUGAGACUGGGCAUACCUGUCCUGAGUAGUGGGCCAUGAGGUCUUCUCAGAGUGGGGAAGCGACACACACAGGGCUGAAACCCAACACCAAGCCCUGGCCCCCCCACAGUCCACCGGUACACGUGUAAACACGCUCCACCUGCUAACAGCAAAGACGAACUUCUGAAAUCUUCAAAGAAUGUGUUUCCGCAAUAAAGGGAACUGACCUCAGAUUCAUUCACAGUUAAUAGGAUACUCUUGAGUCUGGCGGCCUCAUGCCAGGACAGGGAAGGCUUGUGAUAAAGCUCUUUUCUAACUUUGGUAAAAGGUUUCUGGUUCUGGAACCUUGAAGGUAACAACAGAACCCCAGAGUUCAGGUCAUGUUUUCAACAUUGUUACUCUUCUUUCUAAAUUUCCCAUCAAAAAGUGGAAGGCUCCCUAGAGCAGCUUAAUGAGAGGCUGAGGGUAGACUGUGCGAGUUUGCAUCAGGAAGCAAACAUUAUGACUGCCAGACCCCCGGAGGCUACUGAGUAUUCCACUGAGACGCUCCAGGUCAGAAAACUUCCUGUGAGACUCAAAACUUCACAUGGUGGCCACUAGUGGCCCUUCCUGAAAGCAGGGUCUUAACAGAAGAUGGCACCUCUACCCUGCCUCGUCUGACUGUGGCAGGACCUGGUUAGUCUAAGGGAUCCUGGCCUCCAGGUGAGUGGCCAAGGGUGAGAGCAAGGCUGUGUGAUCCUGGACAAGCCUAACUAUUCCAUUCUUGCCUGACCCUUUCUAGACUGAUGCUGGCACCUGACUUUGCCCUGAUCUCAGCUGUCCAUGAUACUCUACAUGUAGAUGCUGAGUUACUUUUUAAAAAAUAAAAAGUAAAGAAAAGAUUCAAAGCCCCCCCUCCCUCUCCAUUUUCCUGAUCUGUUCCAUGGCUGUCUUGCUCUCACACCCCAGCUCCAUCCCUCCCUCAGCUGUUUUCAAUUAAAUUAUAAUCUGGUUCUAGGACAUUUUAUAAGACAUUCUGCCUGAAAUCUAACAAACAUUGGGGCAGGGGGGAGAAUAAAUGAGAUGCCACAGGUCUGAAAGGAAUUCAACAUUUUAAAGUUGAAACACAUUUGAGGGUUGCCUUUCUACUCCCAAAGUAGUUUCCACGGUCUAGAAAACUGCAAAGGCAAAUAGCUAUUUUGUUAGUUUUCUUGUUUCUCUGAGCUCAGGAGAGAAAGUCUCAGGGCCCUUGUGUUGGAAGCACUUUGGAUUCUCUCCUGAAUCCGAUACCCCCUGGUCCCUCCCGUCCCUGACCAAACUGUGUCUUCACCGAGGGCAGCAUCACUUAGGAACCCAGAGAGCAGCCCCCUCUCACGGACAAUGGACAGUCCUCAUGAACAGCAGACCACCAAAGACUCGAGGAGGGGGCUAGCCUUACUACAGAGGAAUAUGGUAAGCAAAAGUCUGUCUCACUGAGAAGCAGAUUGCGUGAAUAGAAUACAUAUUUUCAAAAAUUAUACAUACUUUCAAAAUGAAGAUUAUAAACUUGGAGCAGUUCAGAAAAGGCAAUAGGCUACAGGUCUACUAUAACCACAAACUGCACAACAAUUUACAGAUUCAGUAAAAGGCAGGGUGAAAUCAACGGGGCCAUCACUCAAACAUGACAACCUAAGCGAGGCGGGAGAGACAAGUGACAACACCAAAUGGAACUUUCAUUAUGCUAGGAGCUGUUAUCACCACCACCGUCACCCCCAGAGGAAUCAGGAAGCAAAGAUGCGCAAGGGGGCCCCUGGUGGCUGGUGGUGGGUGCAGGUGGUCGGGUGGCAUGUCUGAGUUGGUGGGGGAGUCAGCGCCCACUGCAUGGUGCAAGUGUCUGCGAGAACUCAUGCAGGGAGGUCUGGGCUGAACUACGAGCCUGGAUUCCUAACAUCCAUGCAGAAUGUUCCGUUUUUGUAACUGUACAUGAUAAAAUAUAUUUAUACAUUUGUAUGCCUAAUGCUUUAUAUGCAAGAAAAGAGUCUUCAUAUACCUUUUUGGAGAAGUAUGCAUAUGCUGUGCCAAUCAGAGCUUCAUUGUCCCAGUUUCAUAUGUACCAAAGGUGUUCCCAACUACUCUGUCUACCAAAGAGGGCAACUAAUAUAAUCACACUUUCUGGGUUAAACAGAAAGCACCUAUACAGCACCAUAACUUUUUGAAAAGAAAAAAAUGAAAUCCAUACAAGCAGGAAAAGUGGGAGGAGGGAGGUCAAAACGGCCCUAUCUUGUACUUCCAUUGAGUCACUUGUAUAAUUAACAACCUAAGCUUAUUUAUAUUAAAAAAAAGAAUCAGUUUGUAUGCUAUUGCCUCUCCUUCAUACACGUCUACUAGAUCAGAUUAUACAGAGCAAGGCUAAAAGUAAUCAAGGGUGUGCAUUUAGAAAAAAGAGUGACUCGGGUUUGUACUUUCCACACAUUUCUCACUGCAGGCUUAAUACUCCAAGUCAAUGCAUGUGAGAAACUGAAAGUCAAAGGAAAACGAACACAAAACAACGCUUAACACAUCCCAUAAACCAUCGCGCUAUUAAAACACCAAAGGAUGGCCCGCCGGCUGACGGUGUGCUCUGAACGGGGUGGGCGGUGCUGGCAGGUGCUGUCCUUCGCUGGCAGGUGGCUGUCACCCCGUACAAAGAAGGUUUUGCAUACAUUAUAGAGAGAGUUCUGUGCGAGGGUAAGUGCUUCACCCAGGGGAAGGGGCCGAUAACAGUCUCUGCUGGGGUGGGAAACGCGCGGGCUCACAAAGGUGUUAAGCUGUAAACGGUAUCACUGUCCACUUGCUGAGAGCAGAUUUGGCAAAGGGUUUUCUCGGUAGGUCUUGCGUCAGUUUGAGGGUCUACAGGAGGAGAGAAGAAAACCAGAGACGGUUAAGGACAUUCAAACAGCAGCAGCAGGCCCUCUGGGUCACACCUCCUGAGCCUCCCCGGUCUCCUCACCCACCGCUGGGCUGGGGUGCUCCAAGUCAGGCUGUUUUGCUGCACUAGAUUCAAAGGUCUGAAAACCUAAGGACAAAAGCCUGAAGAUUACUUACCUUACUCCUGUGCUUGAUAACAAAAUGCUCUCAAGUUCAAAUGCCUAGAGGAAAUGGGGCCAUUCACCUGGGGAGGUUAACGAAGCCAGGUAAACCUGCUGUGUCUCAGCGGGCCCUUCCAAGUUAGGGAGGGCCGGGCUGCGGAUGGGGUUUUACUCCAGAUUUUUGGACUGAAGGGCUUCCUGGGACAUAGGACUUUCAUGCUAUAAACCAGAGAAGCUGGUCACCCCAAACAGACCAGUUAUGCUUCUCUAGUUCUCCCCCGCUGGCUCUGUGGACUAAAUAACUUGCUUACCACCCUUUCCAUUGAUAGCCCAACACCAGAGGAGGAAAUGGCCACUUUCCACAAAUGCUUCAUCAGUCUGCACAGAUGGCCAGGGGUAAUCUUGACUUCCCUCACCAAAAAAACAAGCAAUCUCUAAGUAGACUGUCUUGGGAAGUAGACUUUGUCUUGCCUAAGUAGACUUUGCUUUAUAUAUUAAAAAUCUACAGAGGAAAUAAAAUUAUAUCACACACAAAUGGCUCAAAAAAACCUCCCAAAGAAUACCCUUUUAACAAUGAAUAACAACAUUACUGUUGGCAUUAUUAUUAUGCCUCCAAGAAAUCUUCAAAUCGUAAGUCCUCUCAAAGCAUCUGAAUUUACACAAGUCUUAUCAGACAUCAUAUGACCACCAAGCCAGGAAAAGUCAGAGAAUUAAAAAAUAAACUUAUUAUACAGACACACACAUAUAUAUUUAUCCACACACUCAAGAGAUGUAGCUAAAUGAACUGAUGUGACAGGCCUCAAGACCACUUGUUUACGGAGACAGUGUCAGCUGUCAUGGUUUAAAAAAAAAAAAGGCUCUAGGCCAAGAAAUGGAUAGAAAGGUGGGAGGGAAGUAACAUGAACUCUGGAUCGUCUCACCAGAUAAGGUGAACAAGUAAUGAAAAAUGCAUCAAUAAGCUCCCCCCUCUCUUACUCAUACACAUACGUUAUUUACAUCUGCUUCUCUCUCUUGACUGGACUGCUUGGCAAUCUUCCUUUUCACUACCCCUCAGAAAGACAGCAGGGCUUAGUAUUUGUGACAUUACACACCCACAGUCAUAGCUACCCUUGCUACAGCUCCAAAAAGAAGAGCUUGGGUUGUUUAUGAGAGGCAGAGAUGAUAAAGCAGGAAAAGGCCCCUUCUUUCCACCCCUUCCCCAAGUAUUGUUUCCCUAGCUGAUGGCUUUUUUGGAGGUAUUCUCUGCUCUGUAAGGAUACUAGAUAAUAUUAUCCUGGACUAUAAAAUAACAGCUUGCUGACUUCAAAGGGAGGAAAGGUCUGACGGGUAUCAGCACCCGUGAGACAUUUAGCCUGCUGGAACCGGUACUGUUCUAGUGGCUCCACCUGGGACCCCUGAGGCCCGAACAGACAGGGUGCGGAUAUGGUUCUUUAAGGGGAUUUCAUUCUUCCCUUCACAAUAACACUUAAACCACCAUCUAAGAUCACUAUGCAGUCAGUCAUUAGGGGACUCUGGUCCCCAAGUCUGGACCCUGACUUACUGCAAGUGCCAAGAGAGGAGCUGUGAAGUAUUUCCUAGCCCAAACCCCAUCCCCCCAUUCCCUCUGGUGUUAAUUACUCAGCCACAGACACCAGUGCAUGCUGGGGAGUUGACACACUUCAUUCCCCAAGUACAGCGGCAGAGCACGCAACUCGCUCUGAUGCUGGCACCGGGUCAACACAGGAGGGAAGAAGGCAGGAGGCACCUAUAAGCCCGUAACGUGGCAUCGUUCAAAGCAAAAGAGGGCAUCGACCUGCCCGCUUUCCUUCUUUGCAGAAUGGGCCUGGGGCCCCUCGUGGCACUCUGUCCUGACACGCCCUUGAGGUCGCAGAGCAAACAGCCUGAGCCUAGAAGUUCAACUGGCAGAGGCCAGGCCCAGGCUGAGAGGCGGCCCUCACAGAGGACAAACUGAGCAGAGAAGCCCCGACUCCACAGGAUGGAAAGGCAACUUGUUCCUCUGUGGUAGAAGGCAAACAGUUUGUAAAAUACCGUGAACACAGAAAGGAAACGCAAUCACCCUUCUAAGAGGAACGCUAGGAUCAGUAUUCACGAGGAAGACCUUACAAUUACAAUUCAUCACAAGGAAAGCAGCCUCUCUAAGGCCCCCGCCUUAAGAUUUUUUAACCUCUCUCUGGUGGCUCGAUGUUUACACAUAUUUAUCUGACACCAUCUGGAAAAAUGACUGACUGGAAAAAUGAAAGGAGCACAGUAAAUAACCGGAUUUAACGAUACUUGGUUUGGACACAAAUUCCCUGCGUUUGAAUGGUGCUCUCACUAGUCUUACAUUCUUUAAAGUGAGAUGCUUCAGUUAACUAUGAGGUUUAUGUGUGUUUGUGGAUGGCCUUAUGAGUCUAAAACCACAUUAGAUUAGGCAAAACUUCAGGAAGGAAAAGGAAGCCUACAGCUGAAGGGGAUUACAGCCAUCACUUUGCAGUUUCUAGGCAGUGGGCCAACUAACAAUAAAUAGGAAGACGCUGUCCUGUCCCAUCCAGGACUUUCAUUAACAGGGAGAAAAUCUCCGCCCUCUCCCUCCCUGCCCAAGACUAAGUUUGAAAUCAGGCUGUUGAUGCAAAGAAAAUGAAAUAGGGAAACCAAAUGAUGAGGCCCCUUCUAAAAAUAUCUGUGGAUGCUGUCAUCUGGUCUCUGGUGAGAGUAAGUCCCUCUCUAACCUUGGCAUCUGUAGGGAAGACAAGUUUCUAACUAAUUAUCACCACUAAAUCACAUGAUGUUCUAAGAAAGGGCCACGCCUCCAAAAAACUGUACACAAAACAUAACCCCCAUCAACUUUAAUCUGGGAAUAAAACAUAAACUGUUCCUGCUGCUGUCCUCCCACAACUAACUCCACUGUGACAAAUCCGGAUUUCUCAGCAGUGUUUUUAUCUUCCUGGCAGAAAGGAGAAGAACAGGGCCCCAAUUCCAAAUAUGACAGGGAAGGAAAAAGAACCACGGGGACAAAACUCUCCCAUCUGCAAAUCCACGCAGGUUAGCCACGCUUUCCUGGCCAAAAUUAAAAGACGCUUGGUGGAAAGUCUGCCUGAAACACAAAAUUAUAGUGAAAUACCACUUUCUUUACUCUUUAAACAUAAAGAUAAUUUAAGCCAAACUUGCAACCCCUGAGGCGAGUGAGGGACUACAUGUAGAACAUUUAGGAUGGAAAAGAAAUGAAUCCAUGUUUGCUCAAUGACAGGGAAACUUCAGGUGGAUUUCAGCGAACAGGUGUGGGUUUCAGAGAAUGAAUGCUUCUAUGCUAUGCUAUGCUAAGUCACUUCAGUCGUGUCCGACUCUGUGUGACCCCAUAGACGGCAGCCACCAGGCUCCCCCGUCC
ensembl:lncRNA